UACCAGCUCUCCGAGUGGUAGGGAUGAUUAUUGGGCUUAAAGCGUCCGUAGCCGGCUUAGCAAGUCUCCUGUUAAAUUCAGCGACCUAAUCGUUGAGCCGCGGGAGAUACUACUAGGCUAGGAGGCGGGAGAGGUCGACGGUACUUCUGGGGUAGGGGUGAAAUCCUAUAAUCCCGGGAGGACCACCAGUGGCGAAGGCUGUCGACUAGAACGCGCUCGACGGUGAGGGACGAAAGCUGGGGGAGCGAACCGGAUUAGAUACCCGGGUAGUCCCAGCUGUAAACGAUGCGGGCUAGGUGUUGGGGUGGCUACGUGCCACUUCAGUGCCGCAGGGAAGCCAUUAAGCCCGCCGCCUGGGGAGUACGGCCGCAGGCUGAAACUUAAAGGAAUUGGCGGGGAGCACCACAAGGUGUGAAGCUUGCGGUUC
rnacentral:rRNA from 1 species